GCUUUCUUUGCCGGCGACCGGCGCACGGGUGAGUAACACGUAUCCAACCUGCCCUUUACUCGGGGAUAGCCUUUCGAAAGAAAGAUUAAUACCCGAUGGCAUAAUGAUUCCGCAUGGUUUCAUUAUUAAAGGAUUCCGGUAAAGGAUGGGGAUGCGUUCCAUUAGGUUGUUGGUGAGGUAACGGCUCACCAAGCCUUCGAUGGAUAGGGGUUCUGAGAGGAAGGUCCCCCACAUUGGAACUGAGACACGGUCCAAACUCCUACGGGAGGCAGCAUG
rnacentral:rRNA from 1 species